rnacentral:rRNA from 1 species
UCCCCUGACCGCGUAUGAAAGUACGUUUUCACCUCGGGUGACAGGGAGACAGGUGGUGCAUGGUUGUCGUCAGCUCGUGUCGUGAGAUGUUGGGUUAAGUCCCGCAACGAGCGCAACCCCUACGUUUAGUUGCUAACAGGUGAAGCUGAGCACUCUAGACGAACUGCCGUUGACAAAACGGAGGAAGGUGGGAUGACGUCAAAUCAUCAUGCCCCUUAUGUUCUGGGCUACACACGUGCUACAAUGGCCGGUACAGACGGAGGCGAAGCCGCGAGGCGGAGCAAAUCCGAAAAAGCCGGUCUCAGUUCGGAUUGCAGGCUGCAAUUCGCCUGCAUGAAGUCGGAAUCGCUAGUAAUCGCAGGUCAGCAUACUGCGGUGAAUACGUUCCCGGGCCUU